GACGAACGCUGGCGGCGUGCUUAACACAUGCAAGUCGAACGGAAAGGCCCUGCUUUUGUGGGGUGCUCGAGUGGCGAACGGGUGAGUAACACGUGAGUAACCUGCCCUUGACUUUGGGAUAACUUCAGGAAACUGGGGCUAAUACCGGAUAGGAGCUCCUGCUGCAUGGUGGGGGUUGGAAAGUUUCGGCGGUUGGGGAUGGACUCGCGGCUUAUCAGCUUGUUGGUGGGGUAGUGGCUUACCAAGGCUUUGACGGGUAGCUGGCCUGAGAGGGUGACCGGCCACAUUGGGACUGAGAUACGGCCCAGACUCCUACGUGAGGCAGCAGUGGGGAAUAUUGCACAAUGGGCGGAAGCCUGAUGCAGCAACGCCGCGUGCGGGAUGACGGCCUUCGGGUUGUAAACCGCUUUCGCCUGUGACGAAGCGUGAGUGACGGUAAUGGGUAAAGAAGCACCGGCUAACUACGUG
rnacentral:rRNA from 1 species